rnacentral:snRNA from 1 species
UCUCAAAUUUAAAAGUUUAUG